CCAAAGGCCAGCUUGUGGCAAACCAGUGCUGAGAAAGCAACCCAGCAUGUUAGGGUUAAGACACCAAGAAGGGUGACAAGUGACGCGGCAGAGUGCUGCCACCUGAAGGUGCUUGGACAAGCCGGCGUGGACUGCCACGUGGCCCGCUUCACUUCCCAAACUCUCCGGUAGAGCUGAACUGGAGGCCAGCAUCGUUGCAUCAGCCAGCCUGUGGCUCUGAGGCAGAGCCGGAGAACCCCAGACCUCAGUAGCCCCUUACGAAAAGGUUCGCUUUCUCUGUGGUCUCCUUAAACCGCUUAACACG
rnacentral:lncRNA from 1 species